rnacentral:rRNA from 1 species
GGGAGUGCUCGCAAGAGAACCGGAACACAGGUGCUGCAUGGCUGUCGUCAGCUCGUGUCGUGAGAUGUUGGGUUAAGUCUCGCAACGAGCGCAACCCUUGUCAUUAGUUGCUACGAAAGGGCACUCUAAUGAGACUGCCGGUGACAAACCGGAGGAAGGUGGGGAUGACGUCAAGUCCUCAUGGCCCUUAUGGGUAGGGCUUCACACGUCAUACAAUGGUCGGGACAGAGGGUUGCCAACCCGCGAGGGGGAGCUAAUCCCAUAAACCCGAUCGUAGUCCGGAUUGCAGUCUGCAACUCGACUGCAUGAAGUCGGAAUCGCUAGUAAUCGCGGAUCAGCAUGUCCGCGGUCGAAUACGUUCCGGGCCUU